UACGUAGGGGGCAAGCGUUAUCCGGAAUUACUGGGUGUAAAGGGUGAGUAGGCGGCAUGGUAAGCCAGAUGUGAAAGCCUUGGGCUUAACCCGAGGAUUGCAUUUGGAACUAUCAAGCUAGAGUACAGGAGAGGAAAGCGGAAUUCCUAGUGUAGCGGUGAAAUGCGUAGAUAUUAGGAAGAACACUAGUGGCGAAGGCGGCUUUCUGGACUGAAACUGACGCUGAGGCACGAAAGCGUGGGGAGCGAACAGG
rnacentral:rRNA from 1 species